CUUGGGAUAGCUAGUGUCGGAGUUUCUGACAUUUUGUAUUCAGGUUGAAUACAAGUAUAGUGGAUUGAAAUUCCCAAGUAGGAGCUUGGGGAGUGGAUGUAGGUGCAGGGUUGGCACCGAACCACUAUAAAUCUUUGUGUUUGUGGUGUGCUUUAUCGCUUCACUUUAUUUCUUUAUUAUAUCCUUGCAUUCCUGUUUUAGGUAUUUAAUAUUGAAUUAAAAUCUUUGUCUUGUUCAUCAU
rnacentral:lncRNA from 1 species